AAAAAAAACCUCAAUGAAGAGAGAGAAAUUCUGUGCAGGACUGGGGUCAAUUUACGACAAAUACUUUAUAGCCAGGCUUGAAUCCUAUGCAGGCAGAGGAAAUUUUUAAGGAGUUGCUUAUAGUUUCACUCCCAUGAUAAUGGGUACAUACUGCACACUUUUCUCAGAUAGGCUUGAUAAAAUGAUGGAAAUAUCUGAGAAAUAUUUGAGAUGACUUCUAAUAUAGAUUGGAAAGGGAUAGAGAACAGUAGAACCACAGAGCUUCAGAGAUAGAAGAAAAAAAAUUAGCUUAUUUUGUUUUCUCUGCUGUGGCAUUUGCUUGCUAACUUCAAGCAACUUAAUCAGCUCUGAAGUAGCUCCAAAAUAGUCUCAUAGCAAAACUAAAAUAGAAAUAAGUUUAAAUUAGAAUUAUGUCUCACAAGGCAAUAUGUACUUGAAUAAUCUAGAAAUAAAGUAAACAAGAACUUGUAGAUAGCUCUGUUGUCAUAUUGCUUUUUAGAUCCUUCUGGCAGCAAGGCAGAAGAAAUGUGCUUACUUCAUACUAUGCAGAAGACCCUGGAAACUCAGAUUCACCACCUGGUGGAUGAAGCUCUCAGCACCUAUAAAGAGCUACAGUAUGGCCACGUCUGUCUAACUGAGCCAGAAUGUGACAAGUCCUUGUGCAGUUUCUCCAGCCUGUAGAUGUUACUGGAGUGAAUGGAAAGUCUCUGGGCACUUCUCAAGAAGGACUGCAACCUGUGAACUUGGACCUCAAACAACAAAUGUGCAGAGCUCACAUGAACUUGAAGUUGCCCUUUUUUUUGUGACAUCUAUAAACAUUUAUGAAGCUUUGUUUUUAUUCCAGUAAAUCUAUGUUGUUAUUUUGGGUCUUUUAAUAGUGUCUAUUUAUAUCGUGAAAUUAUGACAACUGCGUUGUCUUUCUGGAAAGCCACAGGUCAAGGGUCUGCUAAGCAAAUACUAACACAUGUGAGUAACUUCCCUCAUAUGAAUAAUUAGACUGAUCUUAACAGAGUGGUGUUUUUAGGAUCAAGCUCCCAAUAUUUUGACAUACUUCCUGAAAUGUUUUGUAGAUAGGAGCUGUUGACUUUCAUAUGGUGAAAAAAUAAUUUGAACGCCAAAAAGCCCCUCCAAAAGAAGGGAACAUAUUUGGGUCAUCAGGUCUUAACAAUUACAGUUUCACGUGUUAGCUUUCUUUUCCUAGGUACAAGAAGUGUUGGAAGAACAUUUACUCAGAAGAGAUCAAGUAGAAUUACUGUCAAAGGUUUGUGUAAGUUAGCAUAUAUAAUGCUUCCCCUGGUUGUAUGCAAAAACAUUUGGAGAUCUCUGUAUUUUUUUCCCCUCAUCUUCUAGGAAAAAUGAUGGAAUUAAUUACUACAACUGGGAUAUAUUAAAUUUUAUAACUUAUAUCAUGUACCUUUGCCAUGAAGAAAUAGAAAAAUGUAUACAUGGGAACAUCCCUUUAAUGAUAAGAACUACAAAAAUUCAUGCUUCCUAUGAUAAAUAUUAUUCUGUAUUUAAGGCUAUGCCUGGAUAUACUUCCUCUGUAGUGCAUGUGUUAUGAAAGUAAACAACAGUGAGACAGAAUUCUGAUCAUACAAAGUGUACAUAAACUUGAAGUUGUGUGGAAUAGGCAUCUUUCCUUAAAAAGAGAAUUUCCUCAUCAUCUACUGAGAUAUUAAAUUGAUUCUUGGAAAGGUUUUUGUGAAUACACUAAUCCAUUUUUUCCUGUCACUUGCACAGAUUCUUGAUGUGUUAGAAUGCAAUUCCAGUAAAAACUUCUCUCAGAAAAGCAUGUCAGGAACAAAUUAGCUCUUUACUCUUUAUUGAAAUAUAUUCAAGGGUUUGCCAUGUUGUCUUCUGUACCUUAUUCUCAAAAUAAAUAUUUUAUACUUAUGCUUAACUGCUGCUAGUAAAUUGCAGAAAUUUUUUGCUUAAGUUCAUUCUUGCAAUAAAGGUGGAAAAGUUUUGUAAUAGCUUGAGUGCAAAUUAAUAUCUAUGAAUGUCUGUAUCUUUUUCAUUUUUAACCUGAUAUUAAUUACUUCCUUUAUUUUACCUUGCUAAAAUAUCCUGCUUGAAAUAUUUCUUUAAGUAAAAUUCCACAAAGCUUGCAAAGAACCUGCAGUCCAGGUAGCAUACCAUUCCUGAUGGCAGAAAGAGCAUACUGUCCAUUAACGUUGAGUCCUGUGCGUGGUCUGUCCGGUGAUACACAAUGUCAUUUAAGACAUUUCAUCAUUCUCUGCUUGAGCACUCUUCUCUAAUCUGAUGAGGUACCCUGGGAAGAAACGAUGAUAGCCAAGGCAUUAAAAUGUAAUCAAGAUAUGCAAAUUCAUGUCUAAAUGUGAUUUGCUUGGAAAGAGAAAUUAAUCUAGGCAUGGCCAAAUAAACAGUGUGUAAUAUGGAUAAUUAAUCACCAAAUUAGCAGCUGUAGUCCCAUGAGAAGAUUAUGUAAAUGAAAAAGGCCCCCAUCUACGGUCCCAAUUAGACUACUUAAUACCAAACUCUAAACAAAACACAGCCCCUGGGAGCGCCAUAAAAUAAGGAAGUGAGUCAGUCUGAGUGGGUCAUUCUCCAAGUUUCACAAGCACGUUUCAUAACUACGUUAUUUUUCCUGAUUUACAGAAAGUAAUUUAUCAGUCAGAUAUAUCAGGCUCACUGAACAACUUGUAACCUUGAAAUUCCACUGAAGUUGCUUUACACAAACCUAAACUUCUGUGCAUACAACCUAAAUCAGCAGUUAAAGGAGACAGGCACUAGAGUGCAAGUCCUUAAUCCCAGGGCCCAGAGUAACAGGGAUCAAUACUGCAGGUAAAGGUGAGAGCUCCAGACAUAUGCUAGGUGCCCUCUGUGUAUUUGGAAAUUAUAUCCAGAAGUUUCAAUUACUGCUUUACACUUACAUUUCCAUAACAGAUCAGUCCUAUCUUGUUUCAGAAAAUGGUAUUUUCUCCAUAUUUCCAAGUACAAACCUUCCUGAAUUAAGUACUUUCCACUGGUUAACCAAAUUGAGGAUACCUUAUGUGAAUUAGGCUUGGGUAUGGUACAACCUGGCUCAUGACAGCAGAUAGUUUUCCCUGAGGCUGUGCAUCACACUAAGACCAUGGCCCUAUCUGGAAUACAUAAAAUAUUAUCAAGUUAAGAAACUUGACCCAUAGGUGAAGGGAUCUAUUCAGCAUUUGAUGUACAGCUUCCUUGAGACACUUCAGUAGGUCUGAUAGAUUCAGCUUAACACUGACUUGACGCAGAUGGAAAUAUGUUGACUUUUCUGAACACAAUUUUAGAUGUUUUUUGAUGAAAAAAUAAUAAUCUGACUCUUGUAUUCAUUUACAGUCAAAGCAAUUGUUCAAAUAUCAAAGUUGGCAAGGGAUUUGAAUUUCCAUCUUCUGAUGAACUUUACAUCAUUAAUUCCAUGGAAAGGAUCUUUGUGCAGUGUAGGACAGAAACUGCACAGUGCAUUCUCAGCCAAGAAAAGCAGAGCUUCGCACUUGUGAUCUCUGGUUAUCUGUUACUAUAAGCUUUUGAAGGUGGAAGAUACCCCUGAAAACACAACACUGUUGCAAACUAACUUAAGGUAGAACUGAUCUGAACAGUCACUGGGAGAGAAUACAAACUCCAUUCGUGGAAAAGAGGAGUUUCCUAUUUUUCUGAAAUGCUUGUGUUGGUCUUUCGAUGCUCUGGACUCCAAAUGACUUUCUACUUAUUCUACAUCUGUUCAGAAUAAACUGCACUCAUUUUAUUUAUUUAUUUUUUACUCCUUGUGAAGCUAUUUGUGGAUUCUUUAGGUAAGGUUUUCAAAUAACUUCUUUGUACAGCUAUGUAACACUUGUUAUAUAGCUCCUGUGCAAGGCUUCCAAAGCUGCACAGUAACAAGGUUAGUACAGAAUAUUCUACUCUUCUCACAGUUAGUUAACUGACAUACUGAGUGCAGUAGUUUCAUGUUGUGUUAUCAGUACAAUGAGGUAUAUUACUUUUGCAAACUACAGCAUGAGUUUUCUUGCUUAUGCCAAUUUUGUUUUUGGAUCUGAGCAAAAGUGAAUCAUGAAUAUAUCCAGAGUUAUCUGAGUUAUCUGAGAGACCUCAGUGAGGCCUUUCAGUACUUAAAAGGAGCUUAUAAACAGGAGGGAAAAUGGCUUCUACACAGCCUAAUGGUGAUAGGAUAAGGGGGAAGAGGGGAGUUUUAGAUCAGAUACGGGAAGGAAGAUCUUUCCUCAGAGGGUCAUGAGGACCUGGCACAGGCUACCCAGAGAGGCUGUGGGUCGCCAUCACUGGUGGUGUUCAAGAUCACAUUAGAUGGGGCACUGGGCAGCCUGAGCUGGUGGUUGGCAGCCCUGCCCAUGGCAGGGAGUUGGAGCUAGAUAAUCUUUAAGAUCCCCUCAGAUGCAAGCCAUUCUGUGUUACUUUACAUGAUGGGCCAAGUUCUGCUCUCUAUUACAACUGGCUUAAAUCCAGAAGAAUCCUUUUAGUAAGUGAGUAUAUCCUGCCACUUAGAAAGAGAACCAUUAAUAUGCCAGUUAUACAAAGAACAACAGUUGAUCAAACAGAAUUAUUGCCUUUUAUAUAACUCUUUGUUAUAAUUCAGCAAAAAGUAAUUUCAAAUGAAACACAAAAACAAUAACAAGAACACAAGGUAAGAGCAUCCACAUGGAAACAGAGUAGAUUAACUGGUAAGACAAAGAUAUUGGCAGAAUUUUCUUAAAUUAUUAUUAGGAGGAUAACAUUACCCUGUACAUUUGAAUAGUGAUUUGAGGGAAAACAUUCCUCUCCAGGGACACAUUUUAAUUAAGAUAAAAUUGUUAGAGUGCUCUGAAAUUCUUGGAUUAGCAAUCAUUGUAACAGUGUUAUUUUUCUGCUAAUAGCGUAUACAAGUUUAGAAAAGUCAAAUAAUAAUUGCUUUUGUAAAGAGAAACACACUACCUUGCCAAAAGUACAAAGUGAAGUAGGAGUUAAUGGUUUGUUUUAUAUAGUAAAAAUGUCAGCAGGAAUGAGAACACAUGAGGAGGAACACAUUUCCAAACAAUCUGAUUACUGAUUCUGAAUCUUAUUACUAAUGCACAUUGAACAUUUUCAUCCUGCUAGUGCUUCCAUUUUAAGGUAAUUAAGCAUCAGUGUUGGUAGAAGAAGAUUGGACCUGAUGCCAUAUCUGGGAAUAGAUUUAAUGGGAAAAUGGACAGUGAAAAAGUGAUGAUUUAUUUGUAAUGGUAGAUGCUUCAUCACUUAUUACUUAUUUAGAUGACCUUCACAGUCCCAUAGUAUUUUCCCUUUUCUAUGCACCCCAUCCUGUCCUGAAUCCUGUAUGCUCCUAAAAGAGGAGAAGCAAAUACUGCUGUUGAGGUGCCUGAUUCUGAAGAUAUUCACUCAUGUUUGCUAGGUCUAAUUUGUGAGGUCUUGCUUGAAUGUGGAAUGAGCACAAGGCAGGCCACUGGAUUGUUAUUACAAAUCUGUGUAUCCCUCGCAGAAUGCUUAUUAUCAAGUAUCCUGAGGCAAAAGAAAAGAAAAGAAAAGAAAAGAAAAGAAAAGAAAAGAAAAGAAAAGAAAAGAAAAGAAAAGAAAAGAAAAGAAAAGAAAAGAAAAGAAAAGAAAAGAAAAGAAAAGAAAAGAGGAAUUUUUUCUUGUUGUUUCACUUUUUUUCACUUGAUUUACUUGGAAUUUGAGAUUAGUGCUGAAAGUGACAUUUUGUUUUGCCUGAAAUACACUGAAUAAUCACCACUGCUCUCACAGAAGUUAAGAAAGCCAUGCUUGAGUCAUUAUUUAAAGUGGACAGCUUUUAUAUUUUGGAUUUCUUCUUCCAAAGAAAUCAAGUUAAUGAUUGGUUGCUUAAACUGGAAGUCUAAGAAAACAACCCAGGGAGUAAUUGCUAAUCUCCAUUAAGCAAGAAGAACAACAGGAAUCUAGCAUCUUCAUCUCAGGAGCUGGCCUAGCAGGCUCACAGGCUGACAGAGGCAGAAAAUGUCAGCCACUCUUCUCUUGGUGUCCCAACACUCCACAGAGAUGUGAAUCUCAAUUACUGCAAUUCUGAGCAUUAACAUCUUUGUAAAUGUGGUUUUUAAUGUUACAUUUCAUUAUUUUUCCCAAUCUACUGGCCUAUCCUGUUAAAGGAAUUAAACAUGUUGUUUAUGUCAACAUUUUACAGAAUCCGCCUCUCCCCACCUCACCAAAAAAAAAAAAAAAAAGGAAUUGUAAUCUCAGAUUCAAAUUAAAAAAUACUUGAAAUGUGAUUGAUUUUUUUUUUCCCUCUAUUCCUUACACGGAUUUCAGAGAGAUCUCUGAGAGUCAAAAUUCUGACUACACUGGGCCAUGUUUUUUUCCAUGGUUUUUUUUUCCUCCAAAAUUGUGUUUUACAUCUGAUAACUCAAAUAAUAAAUGAUCUUUGAGGUCCUUUUCAACCCAGGCCAUUCUAUGAAUAACUCUGCAGUCUUCCUUGAGCAAACGAGGAUUAAAGUAAGUCCUCUGAAAUUCAGAUGUGUUCUUGUGAUUUCAAAAGUAGUGUGGACAAACAACAUGUAACAUCUAUGAAGCAAUCUCCUGUCUUGGGAAACAGUUCUUUAUGUAUUCUCCACAAAUCUUUUUUUUCUUACUAAACACUUUAUUUUUCACUUUUCAUUGCCAGUUUCUACCACAUACAUUUAGUUGAACAUUUUGAAGACAAUAGAGAGUAUUUAUAUUCUAUAUUAAAGAAAGUAUAUUUAUUUUCUUUCACUAAGAAUAUAAACUAAUGGUCAUAGCAUUACACAGGGACUCAUAUCACACUAUAUUAAACUAAUACAAUCUAACUUUGUGCCUGCUCCCAGGGUUAGAAUUCAGAUCAUCAGCUCAGAUCCCUGACAACUGCAGCAAAUGUCUUGCUAUAGUUUUAGAUCAAUAAGAUUCCUUGGCUUCCUGUGUUCCCCAGCAAACACAGCUGAUCCCUCAGUACAGCAGUCACUGUGAUAAUAAAUGUAGUAUGAACAUGCAAUUUCCUAGUGUGUUGAUGGCUAUGGACAUUGGUGUACCUUAAUCUCCUUUGACAGAGAGCCAGCUGGGUUUGAAGGCAAUACGAGUGUUCCAGUAUGAGAAAAGCAGGCUUGGCCUGGAGCUGGAAGGUGUAGAGAAUUAUGUGUUCUACAGCUUGUCUCCUUAAGCACACUUAGCUACUUGCUGAAAGCUUCAGGAAAGUGGUUCUAUCUAUUGGUUGCUCUCCCCAGGAUUUGCCCCUGAAAUAGGCUCAUAAAUUCUUCCUUUAAAACAGAAAAGAACUUGAGCUGGUGCUAUCUCAAAUCUGCUAUUAUUUCAGGUUAAAUUUAAUCCAGCACUGAGGUCAGGAAGAUAAGGUUCACUUUUGCCCCAUCCUGUACUUAUACCUCAGGAUGGAGAGCUGUGUUGUCUUGUUCACACAAUUUAAGCAGAUAUUAACUCUCUUCCCCAUAUCCUAAUGCUUUGGCCAAGAGAAAUUGUUAGGAUAAUGGGGAACCAGACUCAAGAUUUCCUCCAAUUUGAUAAAUGUUUGAGCCAUUAUGGGAUGGAACAGCAUACAUGCAUUUACCAAGAACACGACAAGUGCAUUUCAUACAAGG
ensembl:lncRNA